UAAGCGGGAUGUGAAAUCCAAGGGCUCAACCCUUGAACUGCAUCUCGAACUGGCAAACUUGAGAAUGGGAGAGGAAGCUGGAAUUCCUAGUGUAGGAGUGAAAUCCGUAGAUAUUAGGAGGAACACCAAUGGCGAAGGCAGGCUUCUGGCCCAUUUCUGACGCUGAGGCACGAAAGCGUGGGGAGCGAACGGGUUAGAUACCCCGGUAGUCCACGCCGUAAACGAUGGAUGCUA
rnacentral:rRNA from 1 species